AGUGAACGCUGGCGGUAGGCCUAACACAUGCAAGUCGAACGGCCGCACAGUAAGCGCUUGCUCUUACGGGUGGCGAGUGGCGGACGGGUGAGGAAUACAUAGGCAUCUACUUUUUCGUGGGGGAUUACGUAGGGACACUUACGCUACUACAGCAUACGAUCUACGGGUGAAAGCAGGGGAUCUUCGGGCCUUGCGUGAUUGAAUGAGCUGAUGUCGGAUUAGCUAGUUGGCGGGGUAAAGGCCCACCAAGGCGACGAUCCGUAGCUGGUCUGAGAGGAUGAUCAGCCACACUGGAACUGAGACACGGUCCAGACUCCUACGGGAGGCAGCAGUAGGGAAUAUUGGACAAUGGGCGCAAGCCUGAUCCAGCCAUACCGCGUGAGUGAAGAAGGCCUUCGGGUUGUAAAGCCCUUUUGUUGGGAAAGAAAAGCAGCAGGUUAAUACCCCGCUGUUCUGACGGUACCCAAAGAAUAAGCACCGGCUAACUUCGUG
rnacentral:rRNA from 1 species